rnacentral:miRNA from 1 species
AAUCUAAACCUAAAGAAAAUA